AACGCUAGCUACAGGCUUAACACAUGCAAGUCGAGGGGCAGCAUUAUCGAAGCUUGCUUUGAUAGAUGGCGACCGGCGCACGGGUGAGUAACGCGUAUCCAACCUUCCCCAUAGUCAGGAAUAGCCCGGCGAAAGUCGAAUUAAUGCCUGAUGUUUUCCACGGACGGCAUCUGAUGUGGAACAAAGAUUCAUCGCUAUGGGAUGGGGAUGCGUCUGAUUAGCUUGUUGGCGGGGUAACGGCCCACCAAGGCAACGAUCAGUAGGGGUUCUGAGAGGAAGGUCCCCCACAUUGGAACUGAGACACGGUCCAAACUCCUACGGGAGGCAGCAGUGAGGAAUAUUGGUCAAUGGGCGGAAGCCUGAACCAGCCAAGUAGCGUGAGGGAUGACUGCCCUAUGGGUUGUAAGCCUCUUUUAUAAGGGAAUAAAAUACGGGACGUGUCCUGUUUUGCAUGUACCUUAUGAAUAAGGACCGGCUAAUUCCGUGCCAGCAGCCGCGGUAAUACGGAAGGUCCAGGCGUUAUCCGGAUUUAUUGGGUUUAAAGGGAGCGCAGGCGGUCUUAUAAGCGUGACGUGAAAUGCAGCGGCUCAACCGUAUGAUGUGCGUCGCGAACUGUGAGACUUGAGUGUAUUCGAUGUCAGCGGAAUUUGUGGUGUAGCGGUGAAAUGCUUAGAUAUCACGAAGAACUCCGAUUG
rnacentral:rRNA from 1 species